CCUACGGGUGGCAGCAGUGAGGAAUAUUGGUCAAUGGGCGAGAGCCUGAACCAGCCAAGUCGCGUGAAGGAUGACGGCCCUACGGGUUGUAAACUUCUUUUGUCAUGGAGCAAUUGGCUCCACGCGUGGGCUUAGCGAGAGUCCCUGAAGAAAACGCAUCGGCUAACUUCGUGCAAGCGGCCGCGUUAAUACGGAGUAUGCGAGCGUUAACCGGCUUUAUUGGGUUGAAAGGGGUCGUAGGCGGAAUAUCAAGCCAGAGGGAAAAAUUCGGGGCGCAACCCCGUCGAGCCGUUGAAACUGAUGGUCUUGAGUGGGCGAGAAGUAUGCGGAAUGCGUGGUGUAGCGGUGAAAUGCAUAGAUAUCACGCAGAACUCCGAUUGCGAAGGCAGCAUACCGGCGCCCAACUGACGCUGAAGCACGAAAGCGUGGGUAUCGAACAGGAGUAGAUACCCGUGUAGUC
rnacentral:rRNA from 1 species